rnacentral:rRNA from 1 species
UACGUAGGGGGCAAGCGUUGUCCGGAAUCAUUGGGCGUAAAGAGCGUGUAGGCGGUCCGGUAAGUCGGCUGUGAAAGUCCAGGGCUCAACCCUGGGAUGCCGGUGGAUACUGCCGGACUAGAGUUCGGAAGAGGCGAGUGGAAUUCCCGGUGUAGCGGUGAAAUGCGCAGAUAUCGGGAGGAACACCUAUGGCGAAGGCAGCUCGCUGGGACGUUACUGACGCUGAGACGCGAAAGCGUGGGGAGCAAACAGG